GAUUAACGCUGGCGGCGUGCAUAACACAUGCAAGUCGAACGAUGAAACUUAGUAGACUUCUUCGGAAUGACACUAAGCGAAUUAGUGGCGAACGGGUGAGUAACGCGUGAGUAACCUGCCUUACACAAGGGGAUAGCCUUUGGAAACGAAGAAUAAUACCCUAUAAAACCAUAAAAGCACAUGCUAGAAUGGUCAAAGUGAUAGCGGUGUAAGAUGGACUUGCGUCUGAUUAGCUAGUUGGUGAGAUAAAAGCUCACCAAGGCAACGAUCAGUAGCCGGCUUGAGAGAGUGUACGGCCACAUUGGGACUGAGACACGGCCCAGACUCCUACGGGAGGCAGCAGUGGGGAAUUUUGCACAAUGGGGGAAACCCUGAUGCAGCGACGCCGCGUGAUUUAGAAGGCCUUCGGGUUGUAAAAAUCUUUUGUAUAGGAAGAAAAUGACAGUACUAUACGAAUAAGGUCCGGCUAAUUACGUGCCAGCAGCCGCGGUAAUACGUAAGGACCGAGCGUUGUCCGGAAUCAUUGGGCGUAAAAGGGUACGUAGGCGGCUAGAAAAGUUAGAAGUCAAAGGCUAUAGCUCAACUAUAGUAAGCUUCUAAAACUAUUUAGCUUGAGAAAUGGAAGGGAAAGUGGAAUUCCUAGUGUAGCGGUGGAAUGCGCAGAUAUUAGGAAGAAUACCGGUGGCGAAGGCGACUUUCUGGCCAUUAUCUGACGCUGAGGUACGAAAGCGUGGGUAGCAAACAGGAUUAGAUACCCUGGUAGUCCACGCCGUAAACGAUGAGUGUUAGGUGUCUGGAGUCAAAUCUGGGUGCCGCAGCAAACGCAUUAAACACUCCGCCUGGGGAGUACGCACGCAAGUGUGAAACUCAAAGGAAUUGACGGGGACCCGCACAAGCAGCGGAGCAUGUGGUUUAAUUCGACGCAACGCGAAGAACCUUACCAAGUCUUGACAUAUUACAGAAGCAGUUAGAGAUAAUUGCUUACAUCUUCGGAUGACUGUAAUACAGGUGGUGCAUGGUUGUCGUCAGCUCGUGUCGUGAGAUGUUGGGUUAAGUCCCAUAACGAGCGCAACCCCUAUUGCUAGUUACCAUCAUUAAGUUGGGGACUCUAGUAAUACUGCCGGUGACAAACCGGAGGAAGGUGGGGAUGACGUCAAAUCAUCAUGCCCUUUAUGACUUGGGCUACACACGUGCUACAAUGGCAGGUACACAGGGUUGCAAGACUGCGAAGUUAAGCGAAACUCAAAAAGCCUGUCCCAGUUCGGAUUGCACUCUGCAACUCGAGUGCAUGAAGUUGGAGUUGCUAGUAAUCGUGGAUCAGAAUGCCGCGGUGAAUGCGUUCCCGGGUCU
rnacentral:rRNA from 1 species